UUUCAUUCAUUUUAUAUGUUGCAUCUUCCAUUUCUUGAGUUAAAGUGGUUAACCGUUCUUUUAAAACUAAAUUGUCCCUUUCAAAAGUCUAUGGAAUUACAAAGAUUUAAACAGAACAUUUUAACAAUAUUUUGUUCCUUCUGAAACUCACCUCUAAUUCUGUCAUAAGAAUUUUAAUCUUUUUAUUUUUGCCUUGCAAAGCAUCGUCAUAAUCAGUGCUUUCAGAUAUAUCUACGUGCUUAAAACAAAAUAACAUGGAUAGUUUCAUAAGAGGUUUUUAUAUCUUUGCUAUGUUACUAAUGAAAUAUCUUACUUUAGAUACAUUGGUGGUUUCAUGUUUUGAAUCGGAAGUACCCCAUUCUAUCAUCUUUCUUUUUACGCUUAGCAGGUUCAGGUUUUAAGGAAGAAAUGGUUUGUUUUAAUUC
rnacentral:misc_RNA from 1 species